CAUCAUGGCAACGCGCCCCCGCGGCACCACGAACACGGACCCGCGCGCCCUGAAGACCCACACACGCCCCCACACGCCCCCGCGGCACCCCUGGCAGGAGCAGUGGGCGGCGGAGGGCGGGGAGGGCCUGGCGCGGCACUGUCAGGGAGGAAAUGGGCGAGACGGCCACCCAGCAGACCCGCCCCCCAGGGAGUGGUUGAGUGAUGUCGGAGAGUGAGGAUGGCAGCAUCCUGGGCGGCAGCGGACCCCUGGAGAUGAACAUGGUGGCGCUGCCCAAGAUGGACGGGGCGCCCCUGGACCAGCUGGGCCUGGGCGGGCCGGGCGGGGCACUGGCUCCCUUGGGGGCGGGGCCGCAGCACUACACCCCCGCCUCCUCCGCCAGCCCCCAGACCCUGCUGGAGGGGGUCAUGGCCCCAGGGUCGCGGACGCUGGCCACAGUGAGCCCCGCGGUGACCUUCAGCAGCGCGGGGGGGGCGGGGCAGGACUCCUACAGCAGCCUGGAGUACGUGACACAGAUGCCCCUGGCGGAGGCGCCGGCCAAGUUUGCGGACACGCUGGUGUCGGUGGACAACGUGUCCUUUGUGGAGAUGAACGAGGCGGCCAUCAAGGGCGCCGCCACCUCGGGGCCGCUGGAGCUGUACUUUGACGUGAUCACCCCCGCCAGCAGCGCCCCGCCCCAGGCUGCCCCGCCGCCCCCAGGCCACCAUGCCCGCCAUGAACACCAGACACCCAAGGCACAGCUGCUGGAGCGGGCCUACACUGACCUCUUCCUCCAGCAGCAGCAGCAACAACAACAACAACAACAACAACAGCAACAACAGCAACAACAACAGCAGCAGCAGCAGGAGGAGGAGGAGCAGGCAGCCCAGAAUCAGCAGCAUCAGAAGCAGGAGCCUGACCACAUUCUUGGUCCGGCCAGCCUGGUCCAGCUGGAGGGUGACACCCUGCCCCCGGGCCUGCAGGACUACCGCAAGGUGCCCAAGAUGGAGAAGAGGCCCAUCGCCUCCACCACCACCACCACCACCACCACCGCCUCACAGCACCCACACCACCUGCACCACCACCACCAGCACCACCAGCAGCAGCACCACCAGCAACAACAACAACAACAGCAGCAGCAGCAGCUACAACACUCACACAGACUUCAGCAGCAGCAGCAGCAGCAACAAGAACAACAACAACAACAAGAGCAACAGCAACAGGAGCAGCAGCAACAGGAGCAGCAGCAGCAGCAACAUCAUCAUCAGAAGUCCUUUCAGUUCCCUGGCGGGCGCCACCCCCCGCCCCUCCAGCUGAUGCAGUCGUCACCGCUGCCGCCGCUGCUGCAGCUGAAGCAGGAGCUGCAGCAACACAAGACAUUCCAGCAGGGUGUGGUCAGCAAGGUGGCCGAGGCCGCCAUGGGCCCCGGGGAGGAGACAGCAGCGGCGGCGGCAGUGUCCGCGGCGGGGCAGGCCAGCACGCAGCACAUGCCGCUGGUGUCCCGCAGCGGGCGGCCCAUCAGGCGGCGGCCGGAGUACUUGGAGUACGUGAGCCAGAACAUGAAGGAGGAGGCGGAGGGCCCCGCCCCCCCGCCCCACACCCUGGUGCUGCCGGUGAAGGUGGAGGGGCUCAACUCGGCGGAGUUUGAGGUGGAGGAGGAGGAGGUGCCUGAGCCGGAGGAGGAGGAGGACCCCAUGGAGGAGGACGGGGACUCCGGCGAGGAGGACCUGGAGGGCGGCGGCGGCCUGUGCUCCAGCGACGGCAAGAAGUCUCUGCCGCACAAGAAGCGCAUCCCCCGCAAGCUGAAGGCCACGCGGCGCCACAGCGUCAAGGGCCACAAGUGUGGCCAGUGUGGCCAGCAGUUCCUGACACAGCCCCAGCUGGCCGCCCACCGCCUCACCCACGCCCCGGCCCCCGCCCGGCCCAAGCCCUUCCGCUGCGAGAUAUGCGCGCGCACCGUGGAGACGCAGUUCAAGUUCUUUGAGCACCUGAAGGGCCACUACGAGCCCAACAAGAAGCACCGGUGCGAGGUGUGCUGCGGGGAGUUCCUGAGCGCCGAGGCCCUGCAGGAGCACGCGCUGGUGCACUCCAGGGAGCACUUCCAGUGUGAGCUGUGCAACAAGACCUUCCGCAAGGAGAGCAUGCUGGAGGUGCACCUCAAGGUGGCCCACGUGGAGGAGGAGGAGGCGGGGGGGGCGGCGGACAAGCCCUACUCCUGCGUGGCGUGCCCCAAGAGCUACCACUCACAGGUGGCCCUGGACUCCCACGUGCAGUCCGAGCACGAGGAGAACCCGCCAGAGUUCAACUGCGAGGACUGCUACCGCGUCUUCAAGUCCAAGAGCAAGCUGAUGGCGCACCGCAAGGCAGAGCACAAGGAGGAGGUGCCCCAGCCCAAGGGUGCGCCCAAGAAGAAGGUCAAGGUGGGCAAGUCCGUCAAGGGCGGCUACGCCUGCAGCAUGUGCACCAGGGUCUUCACACACAAGAACUCCCUCGUCUACCACAUCAGGGGACACACAGGGGAGCGACCACACCAAUGCGACCAGUGCGGCAAGUCCUUCUACGCGGCCAGCGCCCUCAAGGUCCACCUCAGGCUGCACAGCGGGGAGAAGCCUUACAAGUGCCAGAUGUGUGAGAAGUACUUCCGGCAGUGGGGUGACCUGCGCUACCACACAACCUCGGUGCACUCGGAGAAGAGGCAGUACCAGUGUGAGUUUUGCGGUAAGGACUUCAAGCGCAAGUACUGCCUGGUGGUCCAUCGCCGCAUCCACACCGGGGAGAAGAACUACAAGUGUGAAUACUGCGGCAAGGCGUUCAGGGCAGCCUCGUACCUACAGAACCACAAGAGGAUACAUACAGGGGAGCGACCACAUCCCUGCCCAGACUGCGGCAAGCCGUUCCGCGUACGCUCGGACAUGAAACGCCACAGACAGACACACAUGAGGGACGGCACUGGGUCGGGCUCCAGCGCCACGCCUGCCCCCACACCCCAGUCCCCCUCGCCCACCGUCACGGCCCAGCUUGUUCCUGGCACCAUCGCACAGGCCGCCCAACAACAACAACUUAUUCUCUCCGACGAGGUAUCCGUUCCCGGCAGCGGAGAGCAGCCCAUCAGGAUCAUGGUCUCCGGGCUCAACGCACAGCACGUAGCCGCCACCGUGCACCCCCCGCCAGCCCACCGCCAGUCACAGCACGUCGCAGUCCCAGUCUCCGGCAACAUCGCCACGCUCACCACCGGCCCCGUCUCCCCCGGCGGCACAACGCUGAGCCCCGAGGUGAUCAUCAUGGACGAGAGCACACACCAGCCCAUCAACCUCAACAUCAUCCCUCGCAUGAUAACGCCGGACCAGGUCGCCUCGUCGCCCCAUGGCAGUCACGCUACGCUAGUCACCGAGGAGGAGGUGGGGGAGUACCAGCUGGCUAACUCCGGCCGCAACACUCUGGAGGUGCGCGGCGAGGAGGGCAGCGUGUAUGUGUGGCAUGGGGUCUUCACCAAUUGAGUCCCGCCCGGUGAGGUGGACUGUGUUACUCGAACCUCUUUGGGCCGACCUCAAGCCCUGACACCCUCACCAGACACAGCGGCAUAGGCUUGUCGGUGAGCGUUCGUCCCGGUGCGGUGGAUAGAAGUGCGUCACGCCACCUCGGGAAGUGAGAGAGAGAGAGGGAGAGAAGGUGAUGGGAGAAUGGUGAAGGGGAAGAUACCUCACCCUGGUUUUAGAGACAGGGAACCACAGAGAGAGAGAGAGAGAGAGAGAGAGAGAGAGAGAGAGAGAGAGAGAGAGAGAGAGAAGAAUGAAAGAGAGAACCAGAGAGAGAGAUAAUGGAAGUGAGUGUGUUUGAAAAGGAAGAAAAUGAGAGAGAGAGAGAGAGAGAGAGAGAGAGAGAGACGAUGAAAGACAGUGUGUGUUCAAAAAGGGAAGAAAAAGAAAGACCGAGAGAGGAAACAAAAUGCCUCUCCCUUCCUUUUGAGAGAGAGAGAGAGAGAGAGAGAGAGAGAGAGAGAGAGAGAGAGACCACACACCUCACCAUGCAUACAUAACAAACAAACACCUAAUCUACACCCCAAACAAGCCUCUGGGAGUGUGCAUCACGCGUCUGGUAUGAGGCAACUUGGGUACGAACGCACAGCCUCACACCAGCAUACCCAAUCACACCGCCACCUCACUUCCGUCUGAAAAGCCUCUCUCGUUGAAGUUGCAGGGGUUUUCAAGGACUGUUCCGCGCCCCCAGUGACAGUCAUACACCAAACAAGCCUCUGGGAGUGUGAAUCAAGCGUCUGGUAUAAGGCAACUUGGGUACGAGCGAAGAGCCUCACACCAGCAUACCUCUCUCGUUGAAGUUGCAAGGAUUUUCAAGGACUGUUCCGCGCCCCCAGUGACAGUCAUACACCAAACAAGCCUCUGGGAGUGUGCAUCAAGCAUCUGGUAUAAGGCAACUUGGGUACGAGCGAACAGCCUCACACGAGCACACCUCUGUUCCGUGACCCCAGUGACAGAUGUACAUGACCUCUGCGUCUUGGAACGGGAAAGUCGCCCCUUGAAAGCCUGGUUAAGCUUCCCUGUGGCCUUGGGAAAUGGACGUAUUGGGCGCCUGAUAUGUUUACGUGUAUGUACUUGGCUCUACGUACCAUAAGGGAUGUUUGGACCUAGUGAAACAACCCAGUGAUAGCCUAUGGGAGAGAGAGAGAGAGAGAGAGAGAGAGAGAGAGAGAGAGAGACCAGCCCAGCAACGACCACCUUCACAGUGCAAUACUUCUAUCAAUUUCAGAGUGCAAAGUGUCAAUAGGAAGUUGCUAGCCAUGGAAGUACUCGCUAGCAUUUAAACGGACUAGCUAUACUUGACUGAAGAAAACACUUGUGGUGGAAGAUGGAGAUAAGGUGACUUGAAAAUGCGUUUGUGUGUGUGUGUGUGUGUGUGUGUCGAGUUAUGCUAGCCAUGGAAGUACACGCUAGCAUUUAAACGGACUAGCUUUAAGUGGAUGAAGAACACGCAAGUGGAUGACAAAGAAGAGGUGGUUUCAGGGUGCGUUUGUGUGUGUGUGCGUGCGUGUGUGUGUGCUGGAAACUUACCUUGUUAUCCCGUUAUGUGAACCACCAGUGAGCGAGCGAGAGAGAGAGAGAGAGAGAGAGGCACCCCAAAAAAUCAUUAGGUCAAGUUAUGGUCCCAGCAAUUCACAAAGGUGUCAUGGAGAGCAAUUACCAGCACCCGACCCGACCUGACCCGACCUGACCUGAGCUGACCUGACCCGCCGUGCAUACAAGGGAGAGCCACACCUUCGCCAUAAGUGCUUGUAAAGACUAGUGCCUGUUGGUAGCGACCUUGCCAAACCUCCCUGUAAUUUAACAUGAUUUCGUAUAAGUCUCAGAAGCGUAACCCUUAUAAUCUUCCUCCCUGGGGCUGAGAAAUAUAUCGUAGAUGUUUUAAUAUGCCCGUGUGUGUGUGUGUGUGUGUGUGUGUGUGUGUGAGAGAGAGAGAGAUGGAGACACACAGAGAGAGAGAGAGAGAGAGAGGGAGAGAUUUUAAUAUGUGUGUGUUUGUGUGCAAGAGAGAUUUUAAUAUGUGUGUGUGUUUGUGUGUGUGUGAGACAGAGACCGACAGAGCAAGAGAGAGCGAGAGAGAGAGAGUGGUUCAUAUAAUCAUUUUCAUUAACACCAUCAAAGCCAGUAUUCCUCCAUCACAUCCUAACUUCAUAUACUUCAAGUUCGACGUCUCGGAAACUUCUGCGCUACUACUUCAAGAAUCUCGCUGUUGCCUCGUCAUUCCCGGGUACUAGCGUCAUCAUUUUCAUUUGGACGGCUUGGCUUCCUGGGCGACUUGUUUACAUCACGAUCGUAUGGGGAUGUUGCUUGCUCUUCAGUGUUUUCAACCAUCAUUCCUCUCCUCUUUGCUUCUCUUCCUGUCUUUCCCUCUUCACAUCCCUUUCUGUCACUGUUCUUGGGGGUCAGUCCGUUCCUCUUGGUCCAGUAAAUUCCGUUGUUAAAGGCCUUGAUAGUCUUUGUAACAGCUCCUCUUUGCUUCCCUUCCUGUCUUUCCCUCUUCACAUCCCUUUCUGUCCCUUCUGUCACUGUUCUUGGGGGCCUUUCCAUUCCUCUUGGUAUAGAAAAUUCAGUUGUUAAAGGUUUUGAUAGCCUCUACAAUGACCUUUCCUUCCAUCCCUUCCUAUCCAUUUCCUCCUUUUACUUCAACAACCUCUCUCUGCAUCCCUUCCUAUCCCUCCCUUCCUUUAGUGCAAUGACCUCUCCUCUCAUCUCUUUGUAUCCUUUCCCUCUGGUCGUAAGCACGGAGGAGGUUUUGUCGCAAUUACAGUGUUUGGUAGGAAGCAUAACCCACUCAAACUCUGACUAUUCCUUCACUAUAUCAUACAAACACACCAUCAUGAGUGAGUGUGCGGGUCAUCCUAAUGUGUGUGUGUGUGUGUGUGUGUGUGUGAGAGGUCAGUAUUACCACUCUCGGAAGGCUUAGGUUCGUGCAUUACAAAAGGUUCUCCUGGAGGUUGUCGAGGUUUCCAUGGGUGGUUUCCUGAGCCUGGUGGUAGUUUGGCAAGACUUCCGCGUGUGAACAGGAAAAGCACUCGUGGGAACCGGAUGCAUUUCCUUUCUUAGGCCUCGAGAAACAUCGGUAACAAAAGCUGUGGAUGUUUGUUAAUGAGUGAAGGUGCGUUAGUGUGUGUGUGUGUGUGUGUGUGUGUGUUUGAGGCUAGUAAAUGUGCUGUAACGAGACCCUGGGGUGUUUGUUAAUGAGUGAAGGUGCGUUAGUGUGUGUGUGUGUGUGUUUGAGGCUAGUAAAAGUGCUGUUACGAGCCUGGGAUGUUUGUUAAUGAGUGAAGGUGCGUUAGUGUGUGUGUGUGUGUGUUUGAGGCUUGUAAAUGUGCUGUAACGAGACCCUGGGAUGUUUGAUAAUGAGAGUGUGUGUGUGUGUGUGUGUGUGUGUGUGUGUGUGUGUGUGUGAGAGAGAGAGAGAGAGAGCCUAGUAAAAGUGCUGUCACGAGAGCCUGGAACGUUUGAUAAUGAGAGUGAGUGCGCUGGCGAGUGUGUGUGUGUGUUGUGAAAGUCCUGUACCGUGCUGUUCCUUCAAGCUUCGUGGGGUUAGAGACUAGAGAGAGAUAUAGCUGUUAGUGCUUCUGUCGCCCAGGGAACUAUGGAUACCCGCGCUGUACAGUGUGUAGCGAGAACCUUCAUACAUUCCACCUAUUCACCAACAUCCGGCGUUCCAUCGUGCAACCGAGGUCCGUUUCGCCGGCACCUCCCCUCGGUAGAAGCUAAGGUCGUCAUCGCCGUAUGCAGCCGACAGACCUCUCCUUGCACUCUGGGACGCUGGAGCAACCUGACCUUAAUCUGAGUUGACCCCUUCGGCAACUCGACAAGGAUAAAUAGUACAAAUGCCCCUCCCCCUUGGUUGUUCCCUGCUGGGCGUGGCGUCGUCUUCAUCACGGAGGUGUUAUAUUUUUCUAUGUGUGACGGUGUGUAUUUUUGCUAAUUUGUGUACGAUCGCAAGACUUAAUGUUAAUUUUUAUAUAUGACAAAUUCUUCAGUGGUUCCGAAUCUGAACCUUUUUAAUUAUGUUUUAUGAUAAUGGCAAAUUCUUCCCAUAAGGUGUUGGAUCCUGUUAACUUAGAAUUGGAACCUUAAUUUACUUUUUAUAAUGAUGGUAAAUUCUUAUAAGGUGUUGGAUCCUGUUAACUUAGAAUUGGAACCUUUAAUUUACUUUUUAUAAUGAUGGUAAAUUCUCAUAAGGUGUUGGAUCCUGUUAACUUAGAAUUGGAACCUUUAAUUUACUUUUUAUAAUGAUGGUAAAUUCCUCUCAUAAGGUGUUGGAUCCUGUCAACUUAGAAUUGGAACCUUUAAUUUACUUUUUUAUAAUGAUGGUAAAUUCUUAUAAGGUGUUGGAUCCUGUUAACUUAGAAUUGGAACCUUUAAUUUACUUUUUUAUAAUGAUGGUAAACUCUCAUAAGGUGUUGGAUCCUGUUAACUUGUCCUGCACUAUUAAAAGAGAUUCCAAAUAUUUUAACAUGGAGGAUCUGAACCCUUUAUAAUUUCUUUUUAUAAUCGUAGCAAUUUCUCAUAAGGUGUUGGAUCCUGUUAAUGUCCUCCACUGAAAUGCAUAACGUGGAGAAUCUGAACAUUUUUAUUUAUGUUUUUAAUCUUAAUUCUUCUAAUGAUGUGUCGGAUAGAGUUUCCUCCACCACUGAAAGGGAUUCCGAAUGUGUUAAGUGGAGGAUUCAAACCUUUUAUUUACUUUUAAGUCUUAGUGGUAUAAAUUCAUGAUUGAUUUGUGAACGUAAAACUUUAUCAAUGCUCUAAGUCUGUCUAAUGUUGAGAGAAACAAUAUUUGGCAUCAUUAUUUUCAAUUGACUUUAUUAAUAGUUAUGGUAAAAAAUCUACUCUGUUUAAUGUUGAGAGACUUAAGGACAUAUCAUAAGACUAUCGCUUCUCGCAUCACUUAUUUCUAAAGGCUAAAGAGUAGGUCAGUCGGGCUGUAAUGAGUGUUUCUUUAGGUUCACGGUACAGAGGAAGGGUCACACUACUACCAGGGUCAUAAAACUACUCCUGGAAAUGCCCACAACUCCUACGAAAGCCUUGUCAAAUAGGUGUUUCUUAGGUUCACGGUACAGAGGAAGGGUCACACUACCACCAGGGUCAUAAAACUACUCCUGGAAAUUCCCACAACUCCUACGAAAGCCUUGUUAAAUAGGUGUUUCUUUAGGUUCAUGGUACAGAGGAAGGGUCACACUACCUCCAGGGUCAUAAAACUACUCCUGGAAAUGCCCACAACUCCUACGAAAGCCUUGUCAAAUAGGUGUUUCUAUAGGUUCAUGGUACAGAGGAAGGGUCACACUACCUCCAGGGUCAUAAAACUACCCCUGGAAAUGCCCACAACUCCUACGAAAGCCUUGUCAAAUAGGUGUUUCUUAGGGACACAGUGCAGAAGAAGGGUCACACUACCUCCAGGGUCAUAAAACUACUCCGGGAAAUGCCCACAACUCCUUCGAAAGCCUUGUCAAAUAGGUGUUUCUUAGGGACACAGUGCAGAAGAAGGGUCACACUACCUCCAGGGUCAUAAAACUACUCCUGGAAAUGCCCACAACUCCUAUGAAAGCCUUGUUAAAUAGGUGUUUCUUAGGGACACAGUGCAGAAGAAGGGUCACACUACCUCCAGGGUCAUAAAACUACUCUGAGAAAUGCCCACAGCUCCUACGAAAGCCUUGUCAAAUGAGUGUUCUUGGGCAGCGAAAUGUCUUAUAAUACCUUAAUCCUUGGCAUCAUUAUUUUGAAGUGUCUUUAUUAAUAGUUAAGUUAAAGAGGAUAAUGUGAAGGAACAAGUCGGGAUACCACGUGAAAGACUUUAUUAUUAUUUUUGUCUUAUGGUAAAAAAACAAAUUAUACAUGAAGGAACAUAAGUCGAAAUACCGUACCAUGAUGAAAGACUUUUAAUUCCAGUGUUUGUUUAUAGUAAUAGAAAGAAAGAUAUUACAUGGAAAAACGUAUACCAUAAUGAUCGGCGUUAUUCUGAGUGUUUGUUAAGGUAGAAAAAAAUACUAAGAAAUUAUAAAUGAAAGAAGAAAAUAAGUUGAAAUACCAUUAUGAAAGAGUUUGCUCCAAGUGUUUCUUAUGUAAAAAAAACACUAGAAAUUACAUGAAGGACCCUACAUUGAAAUACCAUGUUCUUGUUAUGGUAAAAAAAAGAAAAUAAAGAAAUACAUGAAAGAGAAAAUAAAUUGAAAUGAAGUACCAAGAUGUUUUGUUAUGGUAAAAAAACACUAGAAAUUACAUGAAGGACCCUACAUUGAAAUCCCAUGUUCUUGUUAUAGU